rnacentral:rRNA from 1 species
AGCCUAUUGAAUUUUUAGUAGGUGUCUUCUGCCCGGUGAUUAAUUUAACGGCCGCGGUAUUUUAACCGUGCAAAGGUAGCGUAAUCAUUUGUCAUUUAAUUGAUGACUUGAAUGAAUGAGUGUACAUGGAAUAUAUUGUCUCUUUUUAUUAAAUUUAAUUUUCUUUGUAGAUGAUGAAGUCUGCAUAUAGAUAGAGGACGAGAAGACCCUGUUGAGCUUUAUAUUUUUAAUAUAUUUUUAUAUGUUUAUUGUAUUUGGUUGGGGCAAUCUAAGGGGAUAUAAAUUCUCUUUUUAUUUAGUAUUAUGAUCCAGUAUUUAUUGAUAGAGAGAAUUAGUUACCACAGGGAUAACAGCGUAAUUUCAUUAGAGAGUUCUUAUUGAUAAUGGAGAUUGCGACCUCGAUGUUGGACUAAAGUUAACCUUAAGGUGUAGAAGUCUUUUUGGUUGGUCUGUUCGACCUUUAAUUCUUU